UCGUGUCACAGUUCAAAUA
rnacentral:tRNA from 1 species